GACGUAGGGCGCGAGCGUUGUCCGGAUUUAUUGGGCGUAAAGAGCUCGUAGGCGGCUUGUCGCGUCGUUCGUGAAAACCUGCAGCUCAACUGCAGGCUUGCGGUCGAUACGGGCAGGCUAGAGUGCGGUAGGGGAGAUUGGAAUUCCUGGUGUAGCGGUGGAAUGCGCAGAUAUCAGGAGGAACACCAAUGGCGAAGGCAGAUCUCUGGGCCGUAACUGACGCUGAGGAGCGAAAGCAUGGGGAGCGAACAGG
rnacentral:rRNA from 1 species